rnacentral:rRNA from 1 species
GACAGAGGUGCCGAGCGUUAGGCGGAAUCACUGGGCUUAAAGCGUGUGUAGGCGGAUGUCUAAGUACCUUGUGAAAUCCCACGGCUCAACCGUGGAACUGCUUGGUAUACUGGAUGUCUUGAGCCAUCUAGGGGCUACCGGAACAAAUGGUGGAGCGGUGAAAUGCGUAGAUAUCAUUUGGAACGCCAAUGGUGAAAACAGGUAGCUGGGGAUGUGCUGACGCUGAGACACGAAAGCCAGGGGAGCGAACGGG